GAGCUGAGCAAAUGAUGAACCUGAAUGUACACCUCAUUGACCCUUUGACUCAUGCUUCACUUUCCUUUAACUUCUCUGCAAACAUUUGGAAAUGGAGAACAGACCUGGAUCAAGAAAUAUCACAGCAAAUGCACCUUUGAGAUCUUUGGUGUCUUCCUGGCCUUUCUUUGUGGAACUGCUUAACUUACUGUAUGAACAUCUUGGUCCUUGCCUCCCAGAGGAAGGCUGGCAGACAUGC